rnacentral:rRNA from 1 species
GAUGAACGCUGGCGGCGUGCCUAAUACAUGCAAGUCGAGCGAACAGACGAGGAGCUUGCUCCUCUGACGUUAGCGGCGGACGGGUGAGUAACACGUGGAUAACCUACCUAUAAGACUGGGAUAACUUCGGGAAACCGGAGCUAAUACCGGAUAAUAUAUUGAACCGCAUGGUUCAAUAGUGAAAGACGGUUUUGCUGUCACUUAUAGAUGGAUCCGCGCCGCAUUAGCUAGUUGGUAAGGUAACGGCUUACUAAGGCGACGAUGAGUAGCCGACCUGAGAGGGUGAGCGGCCACACUGGAACUGAGACACGGUCCAGACUCCUACGGGAGGCAGCAGUAGGGAAUGUUCCGCAAGGGGCGAAAGCCUGACGGAGCAACGCCGCGUGAGUGAUGAAGGUCUUCGGAUCGUAAAACUCUGUUAUUAGGGAAGAACAAAUGUGUAAGUAACUGUGCACGUCUUGACGGUACCUAAUCAGAAAGCCACGGCUAACUACGUG